CACCAAGGGAUUAAGUCAUACGUUUUACGGUAAAAAGACAGUUGGAAUCCCAAGGUCUCGUAACUAUUUAAUGUUUUGCAUAGGAGUAAAAUCUAAGUGUGAUUAUAUAAUUCGUAAAUAGUUUUUAGAUUGAAACUGUGAAAUCCUUAAGGGAAACUGGGAUUAGGUACCCCAUUAUUUUUGGACGUAAAUUAACGCAAAUUUACCGGAGUACUAUGAAUAUUUAAACAUUUAAAACUUAAAGAACUUGGCGGUGUUUUAGACCACUUAGGGGAACCUGUCUCGUAAUCGACAAUCCGCGUUAAACCUGACCUUUUCUUGUUAUCAGUUUGUAUACCGUUGUCGUCAGGUAACUUUUUAGAAAUUAGAAGUUAGCGAUAAAAACAAUGUAAUGACUUAGGACGUCAAAUCAAGGUGCAGCUAACGAAAAGGGGAGGAUGGGUUACAAUUAUUUGAUUUAUAACAACGGACGAACAGCAUGAAUAUGUUUCAAAUUACAAGGUGGACUUGAAAGUAAAUUAGAUUAUAUAGAUAGUUUGAAUAAGGCUCUGAAACGUGU
rnacentral:rRNA from 1 species